rnacentral:lncRNA from 10 species
AUAAAGCAGUCCUGCUGAGGCCCAGACACGGAGGCAGGAAUGGUAAGCGGAGGACAGCCGGGGCGCUGCUCGCUCACGUCUGGAGGGGCUGCAGCUUUCGGGACUGGGACAGGGGUCUUUUGUGGAUGGGAGAAAACAUCACAGUCAUCGCUUAAUCAAAAGCGGCAUUUGUGACAGGAAGAGAAAAGAUCAACUUGACACCAGACUCAAAUGACUGGACACUUUCAAAGUAGCAGGACCUGAAAGCAAACCCCCCAGUACCAAAAGAGCUCCUUUGGGCACUUGGAGAGCCCCUACAUGUUAGUUCUGAGAAGUUAUUGAUUUUAUAAGCCCAGAUGACUGAUAUCGCACAAAGCUGCAGCAUCAUUGAGAAAUCCUGCCUCUGCCCCUUCUUAUCUAUGCAAACCUGGGUAAGGAGCAGCCACUCAGAGGCUCAGUUUUCUCAUCUAGAAAACCCACACUGCAGGAUGGGAAUGAUGACCAAACGGGCGAGGCUCUUGGGAAGCCCCAAGUUCAGCUCCCGGCUCACAGUAAGAGUGUGAUCCCUGUGGUGGUUGUCAUUAACGAAGCCCACCUGGUGAACCUGGAAAUUUCAGUCAUGUUUGCUGCUGAGGGAAAAUGCACACCAUUCCUUUGCUGUACCUACAUGUGCUUUGUUGUAGGACAGACCACACCAGCCAAAUUGGACUUUCUCGAUAGACUGUUCUUGGGAGCCUACUGAUACCUCGCUGAACUGCAGGAGGCUUUUGGUUCAAGUUCAUGGAAUAUUUUCAUCCACAAUCUGGAAGAUCUCUGGCAAAUCUGUGGCUUCCUCUUCCACCAGUGGCAGGCAUUACUUGCUGAUCUCAGAGUUCCUCCUGGCUGUGCCAGGAUGUGCUCUCAGAGUCCUUCUUAACACAUCGCUCCAGGGGACUUUUAUCUGUCAAUCAGAGGUGAUCAGAGGCAACCCUUGCCACUGAUUUGCCAUUCUUGGUCUACAAAAUGGAAGUUGGGGUGAGGACUUUCCUGAACCAGGCUGAUUUCACGCAGGCUUCACCCCGUUGCUGUUCUAAGCACUGCUGCUCACCAGGAUUUCCUUGCACUGCCUGCACUGGUGCCACUGAGCAUCUGAGAACCAAUGGGUAAGGAGCAGAGGGGCACGUAGUCAGUCAGUGCAUUACAGUUUCUCUCUCUUUCUCUCUCUUUCUUUCUUUCUUUCUUUCUUUCUUUCUUUCUUUCUUUCUUUCUUUCUUUCUUUCUUUCUUUCUUUCUAUCUUUCUUUCUUUCUUUCUUUCUCUCACUCUGUCACCCAGGCUGGAGUGCGGUGGCAUAAUCUCAGCUCACUGCAACCUCUGCCUCCUGGGUUCAAGUGAUUCUCCUGUCUCAGCCUCCCAAGUAGCUGGGAUUACAAGUGCCUGCCACCAUGCCUGGCUAAUUUUUGUAUUUUUAGUAGAGAUGGGGUUUCACCACAUUGGCCAGGCUGGUCUCAAACUCCUGGCCUGAUGUGAUCUGCCUGCCUCAGCCUCCCAAAGGGCUGGGACUACAGGUGUGAGCCAUAGCACCCGGCUGGAUUAUAGUUUCUAAGAUCAUUGGCAAAAGGUUACAUCAGGCUGGUGCCUCGGUGAGCCUGAGAACACAGCAAGGUUCCUGCUCAGCGUCUCUCCUUGGUAAUCUUUCUUGUCUCUCCCUGUCACUGCCCUCUUCAUUGAUGGGUAUCAAUUUCCUCAUCUACAAAUGGAAGAAAUCAUCUAGGUCAGUGAUUUUCAAAUGUCUAUAGCCACAGCCUUCUUCAUUCAAGUAGCCUGUGGCUUGGUGUAUUAGUGUCCUAGGACUGACAGGACGAAGAGCCACAAACAGAUGUGUUAAACAGCAGACAGGCACUCUCUCACAGCUGUGGAGGACAAGGUGUCGGCAGGGCUGGUUCCUUCCGAGGGCAGGAGGGAGAAGCUGUUCCAGGCCUCUCUCCCAGCUUCUGGGGGUUGCUGGCAGCCGGGCCUUCCUUGGCUCAUGGAAGCAUCAUCGUGGUCUCUGCCUUCAUCUUUGCCUGCAUGUCCCUGUGUGCCUGCCUGUCAAAUUUCCAAUUUUUAAUACGGAUACAGUCCUAGUGGAUUAAGAACCACCCUGGUGACCUCAUCUUCAUGAAUUAGGUCUGCAAUGACCCUAUCUCCAAAUAAGGUCACAUUCUGAAGUACUGGGGGUUAGGACUUCAAAAUAUGAAUUUAGGGGUGGGCACAAAUAACAUUUCAACACACAACAUUUGGAAGUUUGCUUUGAAACAUAGAUUUUUAAAUGCUGCUUCCAUCGUAGUCAUGUAGAAGGCUGAGAACCUGGCCCUGAGGCAUUGCUCUCAGCUCCAGCUGAAGAUCUACAGGCAUUUCUUUGGAGCAUAGUUUAAAAUUCACCAUACUUGUAUAGUAAAGAAUUAACCUGACCCAAAAUGUCUAGCUCUGUCCCUGCCUCCCAGGAGAUGAUCUUCAGGAGGAGGGUCUUUGUGAAUUUGGGAGCCUACAGUGGGGGCCCUGGGCCCCACAGGAUCUGCUCUACCUGCGGAUAGGGCUGGAGUCUGAAAGUCACAGGCAGCACAGGCGGCCACCCCCACGUGACUGAGCCCCAUGAAAACCCCAGGCACUGAGGCUUGGGGGAGCUUCCAUGUGGGUUGUCACACCCCACGUCCAGUGGAGUCCUGCUGUCCCCAACCCCGCGGAACAAUGGGAAGCUCACGCCUGGUCUCUCGGGACCCUGUCCAACACCUGUCUCCUCUUGGCUGAUGGUAAGCUGAAGCGCUGUGGCUCUGACGGCUUCCUGUGAGUUCCGCCAGUCUUUCUAGCAAUGAUCAGACCUGAGGGACGGCCUGGAAAUCCCUAACCUCUGUAGCUGAUGUCAGAAGUCAGGGCGGUCUUUUGCAGAUGACUUCCUAACCUCACAAGAGAAGAUUUUUCUUCUUUUUUAAACGGAUAAUUUUCAAACCCGCACAAAAGAAGAUAAAGAGUAUCAUGACCGCCAGGUGAUUAUCAGCCCCCACAACAUCAUGGCUGGGCCUGCCUUGUCGCAUGGCCAUCCACCCCUCCCCAUACCGUAUUGUUUAUUUUGAAACAAAUCCCAAGCAUCCUUUUAUUUCCUGAUGAAGGAUCUUUUGCUUCUUGUCAAUCUUAGGGUUUCGAUUCUGUCCCUCUUUAUUUUCCCUCCUCCUUUGCCCUCUGGAGCUGUCUCUCUCUUCCUCUCCCUUUCUUCCUCCACCAGUUUUGCCUCCCACUAUUCUCCAACACAUUCAUAACUUCCAUCCAACUCUUCUUUCCUUGCUUCCUCUUUUCCUCCAAAUUAUAAAUGACCAUGACAUGGAGGUGAAACAAAUUUUAUUUACCAAAUUCAUUUGUUCCCUGUUUUUAGUUUUAAAAUCAGAUGAGCUUAGAAAGAAAAAAGAAAACUAAAUGAAAUUGUCUCCCAAUUCUUGAUCUUUUCUUUGUCUUCUCCCUGCCUCCAGUCCUUAUCAGUGGCAUCCAAUAAAAAAAGACAGUCCCUUUACACCAGGGAGAUAGAGGGUCAGACUCUCGGGCGGAUUGUUGCUGGCCGAGGAUCCAUCCAGGGAACCUAUGGUGUUCCAAUAGGGAACACCUUGAGAUCAACCAGAACUCUCAAAGGGCUAGCACCUGAUGUCAUUAUCAUGCUGGUAAAUGUGAGAUCACGGCCUGCGUCCAUCUGAAAGUGUCAUUUAGGAACUGCAGCCCACCUGGUGAUCUUCAAGGAAACCAACCAUAGCAGGGCCUGGGUGCAGAACACCUGCUCAGCACCGCCAUCCAGGGAUGUGAGUGCAAGACAGGAGGGCUGGCCAGCUCUCCUCCUCGGAAAUGUGCCUUUUGGUUAGAUGGAAAUGCUAAGGUGGAGGGUGUGCAGGCUCCCAGAUGUAAAAUGUCAGCAUCCCAGAAGGAAGUGUGAGCGCUGCGUAUUUCCACAGCCUCUUGUAGCCCCUUUGCACCCCACCUAAAGACAACCAGAAGGCACAGCCUGUCUUCAUGCAGCACGGCAGGGUGCCAUGAAGCCAGGCAGUGCCAUCACUGAUAUUGUGGUUAUGCUGUGGUUUUCAUAACCCCAGAGAAAAUACUAGAAUGAGAAAAAGGGAUAUGCUUUCCCAUUUGACGGGACUACGGUAUUUACACAAAAAUCCAGCUUUCUGGCCAAUCAUUGUGUACACAUUUCUGGCCAAUCAUUGUGUAUCAUUGAUGGUCAAUCAUUGAAAGUCCUUUAAUGGCCACCUCCAUUUCAUGGAGGUGUAACCUCAAUCCUUUUCCCAUCAAGACACGAAAGUUAGCUCUGAUAGAUUCUAAUAACAAGCAAAUAUUUACUAAAAUAAGAUGAAAGGGUCUGUUGUGCAAGAACCACCAAGGAUUUCCAUUCUCCAAGGCCCGGGAACAUUUUCCUUCAGGAUAGGAAUUGUCUCCAAGGCCCUUCCCCCUGCAGACACAUUCCAUGGUGGAGGUGUGUUGCCGUGGGAGGUGAGCCUUUCUUUCUCAGCAGUUCCAGCUCUGGCACUGGGCGUGUGUGGUGAGUGCUGAGGAAGGGGCUGGGCACAAAGUGUCCUGGGUGGGGGAGGGAAAGAAGGAUGGGGGGACCCCACGGAGUCCAUGUCACAUCCCUGCAUGGAGGGGAAGCGCAGCUAUUGCUAGGACAAUCUGCAGCAUUGACAGUCACUGAUUUUUACAGGAAUGAACAGAAAGAGAGGGAUGGGAAAGAGCGCCCAAAAGCCUGUGUGCCCCCGACGGGCCUGUGGCCACCUGAGCACAAUGGCCUUCUGUGCCCUUCCCCUAGCAGUGAGUGGGGUCUGUCCUGUGUGCUGGGCACAGCCGUUUUCCCAGCAGGACAAAGGCUGUGAAAGGCUGAGGGGACAGAGGACUCGAGGGGCCUCCCGUGGGCCUCGUCAGUACCUCUGCACCGUCCCCUCCCACUCCCGCCCACCCGCCUUACACCAGCUUCUCUGGGACUUUGGUGUGGGUUGAGGAGUAGAGAGUCAGGAGGAGCUAGGUGGGCAGGAGGGAGGGUCCCACACUGGACCUUUAGUCCCACACACUGAACCCAGCUUCUCAGCAGUGAGCAGCGCGCUCAGCAGGAGGAGAAGGGUCCUCUCUGCACGCCUGCGUCUCAGGUGGGCCAUGCGAGUGCAUGAGGAGAUGCCUGGGGAUCCUUCCUCAAAGCCACGGCGUGGACUGCCCUGCAUGCUGAGGCGGGGAAGCCCGAGAGGGCCUGGGAGGCUGUUUGGUUCUUCACCUGGUGCCGCAUGCAGAGGAGCAGGCCGGAGGGAUCCCGGGACUCGGGGAACCCAGGUGCAGCUCCCUGCACACAUCUCAUUGCUCAGAGCUUCUGGCCUGGCCUCCUCUGAUCUCCUUUUCUGGGUCCUGGGAGUACCCUGCUUCGGAAGGACAGUUCCCGUGCUGGCCUCGUGCACUGGGCCGCGGUGGAUUCACUUUGCAGCGUCGCGGGAAUCCAGCUUUCCUCUGCCAUUAUCCAGCUAACCUGAAACCUGGCGAGAACGACAGCAAGAAAAACUGCUGGGACAGUGAGAUGAUGGAUUUCAAAUCAUUAUGUUUUUGUUGUACUUUUGAAUGAGCAUUGAAAUUUAUCUCUGGGAACUGAUGAACAGCAAAUGAACAAAACCCCAUGACAGUCCUAAUCCUUCUCCUUAAUAUGUGCACCAGAGGGGGCUGUGCUGUGGGUCUGACUGGGAAUAUUAACCAUUCCAAAAUACAUUUCGGUUUCAUUUUUAAAAAAGGCAAAAAUGCCUUACUGUAGAUUUCUACUUCCCUCUAGAAGAAAAAACAUGAUGCUGUUUUAAACUGCAGCACUGGAAAAAAAAAAUGUGAAAUAUGUGAUGUGGUGUUUUUACCAACUGUCUAAAUAAAGGUUUAGUGAGUCACUAUGGAAAACAGAAAAUCUUCCUUUAAGAGCUGCAGUUUAAGAGUGUUUUUUUUCUUUUUUCUUUUUCUUUUUCUUUUUUUUUUU